rnacentral:rRNA from 1 species
UACGUAGGGGGCAAGCGUUGUCCGGAAUUAUUGGGCGUAAAGAGCGCGCAGGCGGUCGUUCAAGUCGAGUGUGAAAGCCCCCGGCUCAACUGGGGAGGGUCACUCGAUACUGAUCGACUUGAAGGCAGGAGAGGGAAGCGGAAUUCCCGGUGUAGUGGUGAAAUGCGUAGAUAUCGGGAGGAACACCAGUGGCGAAGGCGGCUUCCUGGCCUGCUCUUGACGCUGAGGCGCGAAAGCUAGGGUAGCAAACGGG